GACGAACGCUGGCGGCGUGCUUAACACAUGCAAGUCGAACGAAGUGGCGAACGGGAGAGUAACGCGGAAUAACCCUGCUCUUCAGGGGCGGAGAACAGUUGGAAACGACUGCUAAUAUGCCAUCCCGACGGAGGGGACGGUGCCUGAUGAGUAAGUUGGAGGGGUAACGGCCCACCAAGGCGAUGAUCAGUAGGCGGUCGGAGAGGGUGAACGGCCAGAUUGGGACGGAGACACGGCCCAGACUUCUACGGGAGGCAGCAGUGGGGAAUCUUCCGCAAUGGACGAAAGUCUGACGGAGCAACGCCGCGUGAGUGAUGACGGCCUUCGGGUUGUAAAGCUUUGUUAAUCGGGACGCGGUACCGGAAUAGAAAGCCACGGCUAACUACGUGCCAGCAGCCGCGGUAAUAC
rnacentral:rRNA from 1 species